UACGGGGGGGGCAAGCGUUGUUCGGAAUUACUGGGCGUAAAGGGCUCGUAGGCGGCCAACUAAGUCAGACGUGAAAUCCCCGGCUUAACCUGGGAACUGCGUCUGAUACUGGAAGGCUUGAGGAUGGGAGAGGGAUGUAGAAUUCCAGGUGUAGCGGUGAAAUGCGUAGAUAUCUGGAGGAAUACCGGUGGCGAAGGCGGCAUCCUGGACCAUUACUGACGCUGAGGCGCGAAAGCUAGGGGAGCAAACGGG
rnacentral:rRNA from 1 species